UUUUAAGAUACACAACAUUGGAUGUGUUUUUUGUCGAGAGUGGCUAGACCAAAACAAAAAAAACAAGUCUAAACUGAGAAAUAUUAGACAAUAUGUUCACCACUGGAUUUCUAUAUCGACAAAUGUUACAAUAUAUGUUCCAUUGAGCUCCUAACAUGAGCGCCAACUGACUAUAACUGACUAAACCAUGAUUGGUUAUCAAUUGUACAGCAAAAUAUAAACAUUGUUAGCCAAAAUAAAAG